rnacentral:rRNA from 1 species
AUUGAACGCUGGCGGCAGGCCUAACACAUGCAAGUCGAGCGGUAGCACAGAGAGCUUGCUCUCGGGUGACGAGCGGCGGACGGGUGAGUAAUGUCUGGGAAACUGCCUGAUGGAGGGGGAUAACUACUGGAAACGGUAGCUAAUACCGCAUAAUGUCGCAAGACCAAAGUGGGGGACCUUCGGGCCUCAUGCCAUCAGAUGUGCCCAGAUGGGAUUAGCUAGUAGGUGGGGUAACGGCUCACCUAGGCGACGAUCCCUAGCUGGUCUGAGAGGAUGACCAGCCACACUGGAACUGAGACACGGUCCAGACUCCUACGGGAGGCAGCAGUGGGGAAUAUUGCACAAUGGGCGCAAGCCUGAUGCAGCCAUGCCGCGUGUGUGAAGAAGGCCUUCGGGUUGUAAAGCACUUUCAGCGGGGAGGAAGGCGGUAAGGUUAAUAACCUCAUCGAUUGACGUUACCCGCAGAAGAAGCACCGGCUAACUCCGUGCCAGCAGCCGCGGUAAUACGGAGGGUGCAAGCGUUAAUCGGAAUUACUGGGCGUAAAGCGCACGCAGGCGGUCUGUCAAGUCGGAUGUGAAAUCCCCGGGCUCAACCUGGGAACUGCAUUCGAAACUGGCAGGCUAGAGUCUUGUAGAGGGGGGUAGAAUUCCAGGUGUAGCGGUGAAAUGCGUAGAGAUCUGGAGGAAUACCGGUGGCGAAGGCGGCCCCCUGGACAAAGACUGACGCUCAGGUGCGAAAGCGUGGGGAGCAAACAGGAUUAGAUACCCUGGUAGUCCACGCCGUAAACGAUGUCGAUUUGGAGGUUGUGCCCUUGAGGCGUGGCUUCCGGAGCUAACGCGUUAAAUCGACCGCCUGGGGAGUACGGCCGCAAGGUUAAAACUCAAAUGAAUUGACGGGGGCCCGCACAAGCGGUGGAGCAUGUGGUUUAAUUCGAUGCAACGCGAAGAACCUUACCUGGUCUUGACAUCCACAGAACUUUCCAGAGAUGGAUUGGUGCCUUCGGGAACUGUGAGACAGGUGCUGCAUGGCUGUCGUCAGCUCGUGUUGUGAAAUGUUGGGUUAAGUCCCGCAACGAGCGCAACCCUUAUCCUUUGUUGCCAGCGGUCCGGCCGGGAACUCAAAGGAGACUGCCAGUGAUAAACUGGAGGAAGGUGGGGAUGACGUCAAGUCAUCAUGGCCCUUACGACCAGGGCUACACACGUGCUACAAUGGCAUAUACAAAGAGAAGCGACCUCGCGAGAGCAAGCGGACCUCAUAAAGUAUGUCGUAGUCCGGAUUGGAGUCUGCAACUCGACUCCAUGAAGUCGGAAUCGCUAGUAAUCGUAGAUCAGAAUGCUACGGUGAAUACGUUCCCGGGCCUUGUACACACCGCCCGUCACACCAUGGGAGUGGGUUGCAAAAGAAGUAGGUAGCUUAACCUUCGGGAGGGCGCUUACCACUUUGUGAUUCAUGACUGGGGUGAAGUCGUAACAAGGUAACCGUAGGGGAACCUGCGGCUGGAUCACCUC